UGCAUGCCCUGAAACGGAUUGUUGAUCUGC
rnacentral:piRNA from 1 species